GACGAACGCUGGCGGCGUGCUUAACACAUGCAAGUCGAACGGAAAGGCCCUGCUUUUGUGGGGUGCUCGAGUGGCGAACGGGUGAGUAACACGUGAGUAACCUGCCCUUGACUUUGGGAUAACUUCAGGAAACUGGGGCUAAUACCGGAUAGGAGCUCCUGCUGCAUGGUGGGGGUUGGAAAGUUUCGGCGGUUGGGGAUGGACUCGCGGCUUAUCAGCUUGUUGGUGGGGGAGUGGCUUACCAAGGCUUUGACGGGUAGCCGGCCUGAGAGGGUGACCGGCCACAUUGGGACUGAGAGACGGCGCAGACUCCUACGGGAGGCAGCAGUGGGGAAUAUGGCACAGUGGGCGGAAGCCGGAUGCAGCAACGCCGCGGGCGGGAUGACGGCCUUCGGGGUGUAAACCGCUUUCGCCUGUGACGAAGCGGGAGUGACGGUAAUGGGUAAAGAAGCACCGGCUAACUACGUG
rnacentral:rRNA from 1 species